rnacentral:lncRNA from 1 species
GGCGAGCCCGCCCUUGGUGAAGUUGAACGCGUUGAACUUGGGGAAAUACAUGCACAUGUUCAUGCUGGUGACGUUGUGGUAUCCCAUGAGCGACUCCUCGUAGGGGUAGCCGGGGUUGAGGAACAUGCGCAGCCGCGACAGCAGCAGGGUGGCGCCGGGGAGCUUGUUGUCCCAGCUGAAGACGGAGAAGUCGAGGAUGUUGAAGUAGGCCUUGGCGUUCUUGGGGAGCCUGGGGUCGGUGGCGAAGCUGAUGUAGCUGUUGUUGCCGGUGGCGUAGUACAUCCAGGAGGCGCUCCACAUGAACUCGUCCCAGUAGCUGGUGGAGUUGUAGUAGUACUCGAUGGCCGGGUUGCCCCGGGAGUAGGGGGUGCGCUUGCCGUUGGCGCGCGCGAACUUGUACACCGUCGCCGCGCCUCUCACCAGCUUCUUGGAGUAGGCGGCGUUGUCGCGGAACACGAUG